rnacentral:rRNA from 1 species
UACGUAGGGGGCUAGCGUUGUCCGGAAUCAUUGGGCGUAAAGAGCGUGUAGGCGGUCCGGUAAGUCCGUUGUGAAAGUCAGGGGCUCAACCCUUGAAUGCCGGCGGAUACUGUCGGGCUAGAGUCCGGAAGAGGCGAGUGGAAUUCCCGGUGUAGCGGUGAAAUGCGCAGAUAUCGGGAGGAACACCUAUGGCGAAGGCAGCUCGCUGGGACGGUACUGACGCUGAGACGCGAAGGCGUGGGGAGCAAACAGG